AUGAUCAGACCUAGCCAGAGUGCGGCUAAGAAGGAUAAACAUUCCUUUCUGUUAAAAGAAAAUUUUAGUUUUUCAUUGCAAAAGCCCAAUGGCAGAGGAAGUCGGGGGAGGCCCAGCAAUGUUUCCGAAAAUCUCACAAAGAAUCUCAGGGUAUACGAUUUCCUGUCAGCAAGAAAACGUGCUGUUGUAAAAAGAAAAAAAACGGGCCGUGAGCAGCUACAAACCCCAAAAGGUCAGGAGAGCAGAUGCCUCCAACGUCUGUGUGUCUCUCGGCCGGCCGGGACGAGGCCAGCCAGCGGGGCCGGGAGAGUCCCCGAGUUUGCUCAGCGUCGCCUCCAAGUUCCCUGCCUGCCGGCCAGCCGGGAAACAACUGGUGGCGAUGUGCUCGCCAGCCUGCUUCCAGCUCGGCCUCUCCCUCCCAGCAGGCUGCCGGAAGGAGUUCUGGAGUGGGAAAGCCGCACGAAGGAUGGACCAGAGCUGCCAGCACGCUCCAGUGGCCCAGGAGUCAAACAGACCUCGCAGGCGUCCUGCAAGUUUUGGACCACAGACUGCUUAAAAUGUUUGAUUACUUGUCCAUUUAAUAAUCAGCAGCUUUCACAUUAAAAAUCCAGAUGCUGUCUUCUCGUGAGUCGUUGGACCCAGGCGUGCAGUUUGUGGCAGUGCCGGGCCGGUGGAGCAGCACCCCCUUGACCGGGGCAGGUGUUCCUCCAGUCUCCCCCGUCCUUAUUAUUGAGCACGUGUUAGUUUCCAGGCAUUUCCGUGCUCUUGUUCUUAUAAUAAAUUUGGAAUUGCAAAAUAUUUCUUAUUUGCA
rnacentral:lncRNA from 1 species